GACGAACGCUGGCGGCGUGCUUAACACAUGCAAGUCGAACGGUGAAGCUCCAGCUUGCUGGAGUGGAUCAGUGGCGAACGGGUGAGUAACACGUGAGCAACCUGCCCCUGACUCUGGAAUAAGCGCUGGAAACGGCGUCUAAUACUGGAUACGAAAAGGGUCCGCAUGGGCACUUUCUGGAAAGUUUUUCGGUUGGGGAUGGGCUCGCGGCCUAUCAGCUUGUUGGUGAGGUAAUGGCUCACCAAGGCGACGACGGGUAGCCGGCCUGAGAGGGCGACCGGCCACACUGGGACUGAGACACGGCCCAGACUCCUACGGGAGGCAGCAGUGGGGAAUAUUGCACAAUGGGCGAAAGCCUGAUGCAGCGACGCCGCGUGAGGGAUGACGGCCUUCGGGUUGUAAACCUCUGUCAGCAGGGAAGAAGCGAAAGUGACGGUACCUGCAGAAGAAGCACCGGCUAACUACGUG
rnacentral:rRNA from 1 species